UUAGUCUCACCUUCCCCUCAAAGUCGGGCGGCAAAAUUCCAUUGCCCGCUGAAUUCAUGAUCCCGGGUCGUGUCGGACUCCUAUUCAGAACUCUAUCCCGAUUUUCUUUCCAAAGACCAGCGCCUUUCUCAUCAUCUUCGGCUGCGCACCCUAAAUUUUCUAGCUGUUUCUCGGAUGAAGCGGAAGGCGGUAGCGCCGUUUACCGACACGCGCUCAAAUGUCAGCGUCCAACGACGAUACGGUGGCAACCGGAGUUGCAUAACUGUGUUAGCCUUAUUGGAUUAGUGGGUUAUCCCCCUGAAGAAUUUCCGCGUAAACCCAAUGAUUCUGGCUGUGUCGCUUACACCUGUCUUCACGUUGUCCCUUCUCCUUAUUCGAAUGGAGGGCUUAGGAUAAUACUAAACAUGAGAGGUGACAUAGCAGAAGUGUGUAAAAAAAAUCUGAAGCGAAAUGAUUUUAUUUAUGUUUCGGGACAUUUAGAGUCUUACACAAAGAUUGAUCAGAAUGGGAAACCCAUUUUAUGUUACAAGGUGAUCGUAAAAGAUCUGAAUUAUGUUCAAAGACAUGGUCAAGGUGUCUCCUGCCCAGAAUCUGAGGAAUCAAAAUCAGGAGAAGGUGAAGCUGAUAUUGAUAUGGAAGCAAAUAAAUAUUAUUUGUGGCAGUUGUACUUCUCCAACCCAUAUGAAUGGUGGGAUAACAGGAAAAAUAAGUUAUCUCCACGAAUGCCUGAUUUUAAGCACAAGGAUACCCGUGAAGCUCUAUGGUUGGAACCAAAUGAUCCGCCAUGGAUCAAAAAACAACUUCAGUUGCUUGAUUCAAAGAUGGCAGAACAAGGACUACAGAGUCAUACAGGUUCUCAUUCUUGUGUUUCCAUGUGGGUUUAUGAUGGCAAAGAAUAAGUUUGUGGGACUUAAAAACUAGAGGAGGAAAGGGCAGAGGAAAUUGAAGUCAGUUUUUGAGAUCUGACUCAUGGCUGCAUGCUGGAAGGGGACGUAUUUGGUUGCAUAGGUCCCAGCUACACAUCACAGUGACAGAGGUCUACCAAACAUAGAAUUACUGUGUUGGAUUUUGUGCUAUCAAAUAUUAGUAAUUCUUCUGGUAGUUGAGCCAAGAAUUCUUAUGCGGGCCAUGUUUGUGGUGCAUAAGAAAAAAUGUACAAGGUUGCCUCAUUCUUAAUGGUUUCAAAAACCAAAAUGGGUUAGGGAUACCAGGUGCAGAGAGCCUUUCCAUCUAAGAAUUUUCUCAGUUUUCUGCCAUCAGCUCAACAAUUUCCUCAGUUGGGACCUAAGAAGUAGAAAGAUUGAAACUUGAAAGGAUGCCAGCCCUAGGCAUUGUCAUCCGUUAGCAGAAUCGGAACAAUCCACUAAGGAGGCGCGUAUUAUCUUGAAAAGAAGUUGAAGAUUGGAUCUGGGAUUGAAACUAAAGCUGGUCAGUUUAUAAUAGGGUGAAAGAAGAUUUUCAAUGCUUCAUGCUAUUGCAAACUGAGGUUUCACUGUCCAAGUUUCCAGGUAAACAGACUUUGUAUAUGAUACUUACACCCAGCUUCAUUGAUUUCAAUAAAUCAGGAUUUAGAAUGGUUGGAUUUUCGAAGUUAACAGAGGAACUAUUCGAGGUGAAAGUUCAAUUGUUUGGUCUGUCAGUGAUUGUUUUUCUGGAAAGGGCCAAGUAAAUGCUGUUCAGUCCUUGGAUUAUGCAUUGAAAUGAAUGGAAUUCAUGAGAAAGAGAAACAACUAAAAAGUGA